AGAUCAAACGAGCUCCUCGGGAUCCUCUUGAUCACCUGAGACAUGCACAAUUACAAAUCACCUAGGUAUUCAAUCAAGAUCUAGUAGUAUUCCUGCUACCCUCAUUCAAGAGAAAAUGUGUUCAAAUCGAAGACAAUUAUCACUUACUAACUCAAUCCACGAGGGUAGCAUUUGAAAAUAUCUAAGAAUGCAUUAAUUCAAGUCAAGUCCAAGAUUCUCCGAUUUAAGAGUUAAACAGAUCUCUGAGUUUUGGUACGAAAAUUGAAAAAUAUGGAAGAUUAUUUUCUUGUCAAAAUUUCCUAGUUAAAAGCCCGAGUACAAGUCUUGAUUGCUUUAACUAACAUAACUUGUUAAAAGUGUAAAAUUUUGGGGAAAUGAGAGAUACAUUAGCGAGAGAAGUUCAAUAAAGAUACAUUUGAAGUCAAGGUAGUGAAAGAAAAAAAAAUAAUCAAGGUAAGAGGUUGGAAGUUCGAGAUUUUUUUAAAGUCCAGAAGCCCGUUUCUAUGCUUCAAGAACCUACUGAGAUGAAUAGUAGCAGUAACUUUAAAAAUUCGCAACUUAAGUUUCACAAGUCAAAAAAAAUUAUGAAAGUUAUACCGUUGAAAAAUAGAUUUUUAGUUCUAUCACAUGCCAGAAGAUACUUUUCAGAGAUUCAAAUCACAAGUAGGCCAAAUAUUCGAUCCAAAUCAAAAAUUUAUUUCCUGAAGGAACAGGACGUUCAAGCAGGACAACCUACUUUAAGGAGUAAGGGACAGUAGUACACAUGGAGGAAAAACAUGAAACUUUUAUAGAACAAAGGCCCAUGAGUCUAGUUUCAAAUGCCGCUGACGACACCUCAAUCGAAUUUUUCUACACUAAGAUAUAAGUAUUUUAUUGAGACUGGUAAGUGAAAUCCGAAAAUCUGGAAACUCAUUUUUUUUACUUGGAAAAACUCAUUUUUCUCUUUUAAAAACACAAGACUUUAUUCAAACCACCCAUACACUUAAGUAUGACAUUCAUACCAACAAUUUAAAACUCCAGAUCUAUUUUCAAAUGCAACAAAUGGAACUCAAUUUGGACCUUUCUACAUCAAGAUACAAUAUUUCAAAGAAAAUUGAUUUUUAGGACCUGUUUUUACGAAAUUCUAGUUCUGUCAUACUUGACAGAGUUUAAGAAUCUGAUCAUAACUAAAGCUACGCAACUCAAAAUUUAGUGUAGUUUGCGGCGUUGAAAACUAGAUUCAAAAUGCUAAAAAUCACUAGAAUGAACUAUCAUGAAAUUAAUUUUGUAAGACAGACAAAACUAAGUUACAAACUGCAGUUUUGACUAUUUCUCGGAUGCAAGUAGUGAAGAAUUUUAGUCAUCUAUGCCGGUUCACUAAGGCUCAUAGGAGACGAGUUAGGGGUCGCAUUUUAUACCAACGGAAAGUUCUCAGAGUCUAGUUUCGAAUGCCAUAAAUGGCACUCGAUUUCAACUCCCAAAUAGAGAAUCAUAACAAAAAAUGCGAAUACUGGUUGGGUUUUCUGCUCAGAAAAUCCAGAAUUCAACAUCACUUUAACCCUAUUUUAACACAACCAAAUGGAAAGCUUUUUAGGAGAUAUUUCAUACACAUAACCACCAACAUGUAUCAAGUAUUAUUGCACUAAAACAACAUCAAAAAUUCGAAAUUAACAUGAAGGCUUCAACAAGACAAAAAUCGGACAGCAUACACUUUCCUUCCUCUAGCUUUCUUUCCAACUUUUUCAACUCAAACUAUACCAUAUCUCAUCAAAACAAGUAACAAACAAGCAAAUAAACACACAAAAUUCUCAAGGUCUCUACCUAUCAAGCUACCUCAAUUUCACUAUCUAGUGUCAAGGUUCAUAGAACCCAUCAACAACCCAACUUAACUAGUUACAACUAACUAAAAACUAACCAUAAGAUGGAAGGAAAAUAAGAGGUUUGAGAAUUACCUUUCCUCACAAGAAAUCAGGUUCUAAAUCACCAAGAAUCUCUCCCCCUUAAAGUCUCCUACUAAGAUUGAGGAUGCUCCAAGAGAAUAGGGUAGGUUAGAGCAAGAUUUAGGGAGCAAAAGAAAGAAGAUGAAGCUGAAAUUUCCUUGGCAAAUGGAGGAAGAAGAUUCGGUCAAGUGCGGAGAAGAAGAGAUUGUUUUUG
rnacentral:lncRNA from 1 species